GGAGAAACUCCACUUCUGCCUUGAAUCAAGUACUAACUACUUCAGAGCCCUCAGAUAUAUCAACAUGCUGACUUGCUGUAGAUGACUCAGCGAAACUGAAGGCAACCCAAGCUCUUCUGAGUGAGUCAGAACUCACUGAUUAGAGUGAGUCAGUCCUGAUGAUCAGAACUCCUGGAAUCUGUGUUUGGUUCAGGAACUGUCUCUGGAGGACUAUCAGCCCUGGUUCGUGGAUACUGUGAAAAGUUGAAUUUCACUCCUUGGGAAGACCAGCUGUUUUCCACUUCUGUUGUACUUCUUGGGCCCUGAUACAAAACUAUGAGACAUAACUUGGACUCUGAUUUACCUAGCAGCCCUUUGUAGCUGCUGAAAUAUUUUCUUAGCAUAUCUCUUGCAAUUUCAUCUCUUCUGGAGUUAGUUGAUACCCUAGUUGAAAAGAAACUUCAAAUGCUUAUGUCCUUGAACUCAGUUUUACUUAGUCUUUAAGAUCAUGUCUCUAUAAUUUUAAGCUGUAGUUAUAGCUGUAUGAAACUCACUUGUGAACUUUUUUCUUAAAACUUUUAUAGCUGUUCUAGAUUUCACAGAAUUGAUUUGCUUACUGCAGC
rnacentral:lncRNA from 1 species